UAAGACAGAGGGGGCAAGCGUUGCUCGGAAUCACUGGGCGUAAAGGGCGCGUAGGCGGGAUGGCAAGUCAGUCGUGAAAUCUCUCGGCUCAACCGAGAAACGUCGGCUGAUACUGCCGUUCUUGAGGGAUGCAGAGGAGACUGGAAUUCCCGGUGUAGCGGUGAAAUGUGUAGAGAUCGGGAGGAACACCGGUGGCGAAGGCGGGUCUCUGGGCAUCUCCUGACGCUGAGGCGCGAAAGCGUGGGGAGCAAACGGGAUUAGAUACCCUGGUAGUCCACGCCGUAAACUAUGGGUGCUAGCCGUCGGGGAGCAUGCUCUUCGGUGGCGCAGCAAACGCAUUAAGCACCCCGCCUGGGGAGUACGGUCGCAAGAUUA
rnacentral:rRNA from 1 species